AACGACUUCAAAACAAACUCAAACUUGAUUCCUUUAUUCGCGAUUUAGUCUACAAGAAUCUGAAAAAACAACACGAUAAGAACACCAAAUAUUACAACCUACGAUCUAGAACGUAUGCUCCGGUAUAUUAUCCGGGUCAAAAAGUACUAAAAAGAAACUUUCGUCAGUCCUCAGCCAUCAACAAAUACAACGCAAAACUGGGACCAUGUUAUAUUCCCUGCCUAGUUCUCGCCCGAGUCGGUACAAGUUCCUAUGAAUUGGCCGAUGAAAAAGGAAAGUCCAUUGGAAUCUUCUCGUCUGCUGAUUUGAAACCCGCUUCCUGAAAAGAAAAAAAAAAGUUAAAGAAAAUAUGUAAUUCGUGAUCUCAUCAAUGUGGAAUCUUACCAGUCAAAGUAUUUGUACUCAUUCAGCUGCUGCAGAAGUUGAAUGGUGCAUCUGAAAAAGAAACAAAAUUUAGUAAUACAUUAAUGAAUGUUACUUACCUGCCCUCGAUUCACUGCAUGAAUAGAAACAGUCUUGCUUUCCAGAAUAAAUCCCCAUAUUCGUAUUCCAAACAUUACUCAAUGUAAAUAAAACCGAUCUCUGAGGGAAUCCGAUCGAAUGAGCGCUCUUCGUCUAGAAUUAUGCUGGAAAAUGAAAACGUUUCUCCAAAUAUAUCUAUCCUCCGAAUUUAAAGAAGUGAACUGAAUUAGUAAACAAACUAAUUGUGACAUUUGGUAUUGUUCACCAAGGGUAUGGCAUCGCCCUGAUUAUUCAUUCGUUUUCGCUGUGUCCUGUUUUCUCUCGCGAGUGUGAGAGAAUAUCAGGACACCAAAUAUAGCCUUUUACACCCCCUCAACUCUCUUAUCCCCGGGUAAGUGAUGUUUGAGUAGGAGUUGUUUUUCUUCUAAGUUUCAAAAGGAACUUAGUUCCUUUUGAAAGACGGACGGGGAGGUAAUGUAACCGGUAGGUUCCAUAUCAUAUGUGUCUUUGACACCUUUCAACACACCCACAUCACAACACAACAAACUACACACACAAAAACUGCGCACAAUGCGAAUACUGCAGCGUGUCAUUCCCCUGGUAAUCGAAGGCAGAUGGCUGCGUCGGUUUGAGCUGUAGUGAGAACCGCAUUUGAAGUGUUCUACACACCGCUCACUAGGCAGGGCUCUCAGCCAGAUAGCGAAGGUACAAACCCAUUGUCGGAGUUGGGUUUUUUCCGCUUCCCUCCAACAAUAGGCUUGAACACUCGGCUAAAGGCGAUGGUCAGUCUUUCUGCCUAGAACUAUGAACGGGAGUAGAAGUGCGCGUCGUGUGUAGUAAUUUAAUUUUUGUAUUUUGUGUGUAAUAUGUGUAUUCAUGAAUUUUUGUUGUAGGCAUAAAUGAAAAAAAGAAACAGUUAGUGGAAGGAAUUGUAGAAUAAUUGAGUUUGUGAAAAAAAGAAAUAGGAACCUGAAAAAUAAUUAAUUAUACACUUACCUGGAAACCCUGAAAAAGAAAAAAAAAACUGAAAAAAAGGUCCGCACAGUGGGCUUUUUUUUAUGUCUUCUCCAAAAUAGGCAUCAACCACAACUUUCUAGGCAGAAAGUGUAGAGAGCCACCAACAAACUCAAGCGAUUGGCUUACAGCAAGACCGAGCACUCUAACCGCAACUUUUACAACCGAUUGCGAAGGACAAUCGAACCUGGACAGACGUGUCCCAGAGGACGAAACAGGAAGACAUAUUCACACAAGGAUAUGGAUAAACAACGUAUCACACCAAAUUGAGGACCACACCACAUUGCUCAAAUACAUAACGAUUGCGCAAGUAUACAAAACCAUAAACUGUGACGUCACAAAUAGUAAAGUAUAUCAAAACACAUAGAAAAGUAUAUGUUGAGAAUUAAAUUAAAAGUAAAAGAAGUAUUUACACAUAGAAUUUAUAUAGUACGCCACUACAAACAUAAUACACGUGUAAGAAAUUAAAA